AUUGAACGCUGGCGGCAGGCCUAACACAUGCAAGUCGAACGAGUGGCGGACUGGUGAGUAAUGUCUGGGAAACUGCCCGAUGGAGGGGGAUAACUACUGGAAACGGUAGCUAUUACCGCAUACCAUCGGAUGUGCCCAGAUGGGAUUAGCUAGUUGGUGGGGUAACGGCUCACCUAGGCGACGAUCCCUAGCUGGUCUGAGAGGAUAACAAGCCACACUGGAACUGAAAGAAGGUACAGACUACUACGGGAGGCAGGGGUGGGGAAUAGUGCACAAGGGGAGCAAGGCUGAUGCAGCCAUGCCGCGUGGAUGAAGAAGGGAAGCGGGUUGUAGAGUACUUUCAGCGAGGAGGCGGUACUCGAAGAAGAAGCACCGGCUAACUCCGUGCCAGCAGCCGCGGUAAUUC
rnacentral:rRNA from 1 species